rfam:Scleropages formosus scaffold426, whole genome shotgun sequence.
AAUUUCACACCUGGAUGUGCUUACUCAACCAGGAGUGGUACACAGAAACGGCGCUCAGUCGCUGCAAAGUGCUCCUCUCGGCUCCUGGUCCGAGUGACCACUGCUCCUUAUCGCAGAGAAAGGGAG